GUCUACAGCCAUGCCACCCUGAACAAGCCCUAUCCUGUCUGAUUUCCGAAGCUAAGCAGGGUCAGGUGUGGUUAGUACAUGGAUGGGAGACCACCUAGGAAGACCAGGUGCUGUAGGCA
rnacentral:rRNA from 1 species